GUUGGUGUGGACCAUACUUUGGGGCAGAACCUUAUUUUGAUACGUUGCAAGAUCGCAUCUACGUACCAAUCGGCGUGGCAAUGCCUCCAUACUAUCACCAUGAUACUGCUGACAU